rnacentral:rRNA from 1 species
AGAGUUUGAUCCUGGCUCAGGAUGAACGCUGGCGGCGUGCUUAACACAUGCAAGUCGAACGGUCUCGCAAGAGAUAGUGGCGCACGGGUGAGGAACACGUAGCUUACCUGCCCCAAAGUCUGGGAUAACUCCUCGAAAGAGGUGCUAAUACCGGAUAAGCUCACGGGGACUAGAAAACCGCGAGAAAAGGUUACGCUUUGGGAGGGGGCUGCGGCCCAUCAGAUAGUAGGUGAGGUAACGGCUCACCUAGUCAACGACGGGUAGGGGACCUGAGAGGGUGACCCCCCACACUGGGACUGAGACACGGCCCAGACUCCUACGGGAGGCAGCAGUGAGGAAUAUUGCACAAUGGGCGAAAGCCUGAUGCAGCGACGCCGCGUGGACGAUGAAGGUUUUCGGAUCGUAAAGUCCUUUUCUGUGUGACGAGCAAGGACGGUAGCACAGGAAUAAGUGUCGGCUAACUACGUGCCAGCAGCCGCGGUAAUACGUAGGACGCAAGCGUUAUCCGGAAUUACUGGGCGUAAAGAGCGUGUAGGCGGUUGGGUAAGUCAUCCGUGAAAGCUCCCGGCUAAACUGGGAGAGGUCGGGUGAGACUGCGCAGCUAGAGGGUUGUAGAGGGAUGUGGAAUUCCGGGUGUAGUGGUGAAAUGCGUAGAUAUCCGGAGGAACACCAGAGGCGAAGGCGGCAUCCUGGACAACAUCUGACGCUGAGACGCGAAAGCGCGGGGAGCAAACGGGAUUAGAGACCCCGGUAGUCCGCGCCGUAAACGAUGUGUGCUAGAUGUUCGGUUUCCUACGGGGGAUUGAGCGUCGAAGCUAACGCGAUAAGCACACCGCCUGAGGAGUACGGU